GUAGGUGGCAAGCGUUGUCCGGAAUUAUUGGGCGUAAAGCGCGCGCAGGUGGUUCUUUAAGUCUGAUGUGAAAGCCCCCGGCUCAACCGGGGAGGGUCAUUGGAAACUGGGGAACUUGAGUGCAGGAGAGGAAAGUGGAAUUCCACGUGUAGCGGUGAAAUGCGUAGAUAUGUGGAGGAACACCAGUGGCGAAGGCGACUUUCUGGCCUGUAACUGACGCUGAGGCGCGAAAGCGUGGGGAGCAAACAGGGAUUAGAUACCCUGGUAGUCCACGCCGUAAACGAUGAGUGCUAAGUGUUGGGGGGGUUUCCCGCCCCUCAGUGCUGCAGCUAACGCAUUAAGCACUACGCCUGGGGAGUACGUCGCAAGACUG
rnacentral:rRNA from 1 species